UUGAGCGCUGGCGGCAUGCCUUACACAUGCAAGUCGAACGGCAGCACGGGAGCAAUCCUGGUGGCGAGUGGCGAACGGGUGAGUAACAUAUCGGAACGUGCCCAGUAAUGGGGGAUAGCCCGGCGAAAGCCGGAUUAAUACCGCAUACGACCUACGGGUGAAAGCGGGGGAUCGCAAGACCUCGCGUUAUUGGAGCGGCCGAUAUCAGAUUAGCUUGUUGGCGGGGUAAAAGCCCACCAAGGCGACGAUCUGUAGCUGGUCUGAGAGGACGACCAGCCACACUGGGACUGAGACACGGCCCAGACUCCUACGGGAGGCAGCAGUGGGGAAUUUUGGACAAUGGGCGCAAGCCUGAUCCAGCCAUGCCGCGUGUGGGAAGAAGGCCUUCGGGUUGUAAACCACUUUUGUCAGGGAAGAAACGGCUCUUACUAAUAUUAGGAGCUAAUGACGGUACCUGAAGAAUAAGCACCGGCUAACUACGU
rnacentral:rRNA from 1 species